GGAACAAAUAGCUUCUUGGUCUUGAGUUGGACACUCUCAGUAUAUGGUCUCAUAAGUUUUUGAUUAUAAAAUUGUGGAUUGGUUGAAUUCCAAAUUCUCAAAAGAUUUAUGCGGGUCUUAACAAUUUAUACCAGCUAUUGCAACAUGCUUCUAAUUUCAAAAACUGCUCUCUUUUUAUAUUUGAUUUUUCAAAUUUUUUUUUUGGUUCAGUUUCAUGAAGAUCUUUUAGUUCAUUCAUUUUAGUAUUCUCUUUUAGGCCCAUGGUUUGCUCUCAUGUGGUACGGGGGCUUCGAAAUCCUCUCACAUUACCUAGCUAGCUAUUUGCUAGAUUUUCCUGCCACCUGAAGAUUGUAGGGUUUAGCAAGAGGCCCCAGUUUCGAGCCUGGGUCCCUGAAGCAGGUUUGCAGGAUUUCUGGGUAUCAAAGAAGGAUAGAAGGCUUCCGCAGUUUUUGUUGGAGUUUAUGAACCUACAAAGCAGAAAUUGUUAGAGAUGUUUCCUGAAAAUCUAAGCGCUUUAGCUCAUUUUGUAAGCGAAUCUUGUCUCUUCCAUUCUUUAUGUUUUAUGUAUUCUUGAUAGGAACAUGAUGAUUGAGUGGUCUGAGAAGUUUACUGAGCUUGUUGUUUGAAGUUUGAAGGUCUUUGACAGCACAAACAGUCUUUCUGUCAGCCUCAAGAUGACCAUUGAAACCUCAAAGACAUUUUGAUGCAUGCUUCCUGGGAACGGUUUUCUUGUAUAUUUUACAUUAUGUGAAGUACUGGUUUGUCAUCUACCUUAAUUAAAACAUUCUGUUUUCUUGUCUUCAAUGGAAAUCCCUUGUGUGGUUGUUUGAUUCUUAAGCUGAAAAUUUGGCAAUGUAAACUUCUUUUCUGAAUCAAACUUUGUUUUUCGAACUUUAUGUAGACUGCGGGAGCUUGUGGAGGCAUUGCUGCUUCACCAUUCGUGUUCCAACAGAGGUUGUAAAGCAAAGGAUGCAAACAGGGCAAUUCACAUCCGCCUCUGCUGCUGUCGCCUUAUUGCUGCUAAGGAGGGCUUCAAAGGACUCUAUGCGGCAAAGAGAGAGUUCAACGAUCCUGAGAAUGCUAUAAUUGGAGCUUUUGCAGGUGCAUUAACUGGAGUUAUAACCACUCCCCUUGAUGUGAUUAAAACUAGACUAAUGGUACAGUACAAAGGAAUUGUUGACUGUGUUCAGACUAUUGUGAGGGAAGAAGGACCUCCCGCUCUUUUGAAGGGUAUUGGACCAAGAGUGCUGUGGAUAGGGAUUGUCGGUUCAAUUUUUUUGGUGUUGUCGAGAGAACAAAGCGCUUACUUGUUCAGGGACGACCAACAGUUGGUGAAGACACGAAGCAGGACUAACUUGUAGAUAAACCAAGGGGAUCCUUUAUGUUCUUCAUUUUUAGAGUGUGAAAUGCCUUAUGU